AUUGAACGCUGGCGGCAUGCCUUACACAUGCAAGUCGAACGGUAACGCGGGGCAACCUGGCGACGAGUGGCGAACGGGUGAGUAAUGCAUCGGAACGUGCCCAGUAGUGGGGGAUAGCCCGGCGAAAGCCGGAUUAAUACCGCAUACGACCUACGGGUGAAAGCGGGGGACCGUAAGGCCUCGCGCUAUUGGAGCGGCCGAUGUCAGAUUAGGUAGUUGGUGGGGUAAAGGCUCACCAAGCCAACGAUCUGUAGCUGGUCUGAGAGGACGACCAGCCACACUGGGACUGAGACACGGCCCAGACUCCUACGGGAGGCAGCAGUGGGGAAUUUUGGACAAUGGGCGCAAGCCUGAUCCAGCAAUGCCGCGUGCAGGAAGAAGGCCUUCGGGUUGUAAACUGCUUUUGUACGGAACGAAACGGUCCUGGUUAAUACCUGGGGCUAAUGACGGUACCGUAAGAAUAAGCACCGGCUAACUACGUGCCAGCCGCCGCGGUAAAAC
rnacentral:rRNA from 1 species